UCAUAUCACAAUCUCUCUCUCUCUCUAUUCAAAAUCGCUCACCAUAAUCGAAAGUUUGCACCUUCUUGUCAAGAAAUCUGCUGCGCCACUGCGACUCUGAAAAUCCAGCGACGUCGUGUCUUCCUCUGGAAUCGACAUCCCUCACUCUUCCUCUGGAAUCGACAUCCCUCACCAAUCAUUGUCACACACUGAGGUCUUCGCUUUCAAAUGAUCGCCUCUGCUUUUAGGAUUUUCGGCGAGGCUAGUUGGCGUCGCCGACCGAAUUCGGCGUGCGACCGACCAAGAAUGACCGGCGACCACUGCCCGAUUUUGAGAAGGAGGCUGUGGUCAACCAUGACUUUGAGAAGAUGGAGGGCAUGGAACGGCGGCCAAUCGCCGGUCUUGUAGAGGCGGCAAUUGGACUGGCUGUGGACGGAGUUCUCGAUCGAACUGGCUGUGGACGGAGUUUUCGUCAAAUUGAAUGAGCAAUUUUAGAAUUUAGGGGAUAUUCAUGCGUCCAGUAAAUCUGAAUAUAUCUGUUCAUUUAGAUAUUGUGUUCUGUUCAUUUAUAAAUUAUUUUCUGUUCA